CGCCACCGCGCACUAUCACAACUUUCACUUCGUCACCACGACGGUUCUUUUCCCGGUAAUUUAACCGAAACAUCAAGGGUAAUCUGGUCCAGAAACACCAAAUCUCUCUCUCUCUCUCUCUCUCUACACCCUGAAUCACUGACACAGUCACUCUCGAACAGAAGUAAUGCGAAUCUUAUUCGGACGAGCGACCCAAAUUCUGAGCAAAUCGUCUUCCGCUUUCUUCUUCUUCCUCAAUCCAAAUUCCAAACUCUCUCUGUGCAAACUCUCCGAAUCCCCUCUCCUUCUCCGAACCUUCGCGAUCAUGGCCUCCGCCGACGAGUUCGUCAAGGGCAGUGUCCACCCGAACGGCGUCGCAGUCAUCACCCUCGAUCGCCCCCGAGCUCUCAACGCCAUGAACCUAGAUAUGGAUGUGAAAUACAAAAGCUAUCUGGAUGAAUGGGAAUCAGACCCGAGUGUGAAGUGUGUUCUUGUCGAUAGCAGCUCGGCCCGUGCCUUUUGUGCUGGAAUGGAUAUUAAAGGGGUUGUUGCCGAAAUUCAAAAGGACAAAAACACACCUCUUGUGCCGAAGGUAUUCACUGCUGAGUAUUCUCUAAUAUGUAAAAUAUCUGAGUACAAGAAGCCCUAUAUAAGCUUCAUGGAUGGCAUAACAAUGGGCUUUGGUAUUGGCCUAUCAGGUCAUGGUCGCUACCGGAUCAUUACAGAGAGAACUGUUCUUGCUAUGCCAGAGAAUGGAAUUGGUUUGUUUCCAGAUGUUGGGUUUUCACAUAUUGCGGCAAAGAGUCCAGGAGGAGGAUCUGUAGGUGCUUAUCUUGGACUGACUGGUAAAAGGAUUUCAACACCAUCGGAUGCACUAUAUGUGGGUCUUGGGACACAUUUUGUCCCAUCUCAAAACUUAGGUUCUCUAAAGGAGGCCCUUUUGUCAACCAACUUUUCUCAGGAUCCACAUCAGGACAUCGAAACAAAUUUGACGAAAUUCAGCAGCAACCCAGAUUCUGAACCCCAACUUAAGUCGCUGCUGCCUCCAAUAACUUCCACAUUUGGUGCAAAUAAGUCAGUUGUCGAGACAAUUGAUGAACUUAAAAAGCAGCAGCAGAGUUCAGAUGCUACUGUGGUGGAGUGGGCUAAUGAAGCUCUUCAAGGUAUUGGAAAGGGUGCUCCUUUUUCACUUUACCUGACACAAAAUUAUUUCUCCAAGGUUGCAUCUGCGCUUGGGAAAAAUGAGAAUCAAUUAUCCACACUCACAAAUCUGGAAGCUGGAAGUAACAUGUGCCGAACUUGGCCAACACCAGUUAACAGGUGUGAUGAAAACUGAAUAUCGCAUUGCAAUAAGAUCGUCUUUGCGGAGUGAUUUUGCUGAAGGUGUGCGCGCAGUUUUGGUGGACAAGGAUCAGAAUCCAAAGUGGAACCCGUCAAAGUUAGAAGAGGUUAAUCAAAGCGAAGUUGAAGCUCUAUUCGAGCCAUUGAGCCCGAACGUUGAGGAGUUGAGCGUGUGAUGGAUUGGCAUGUGAAAACGGAACUGUUGAAAUAUAUUUACCGUUGUGGAAACUAAGUUUAAUGAAACUACUUGAGAAGAAAGCACUUUCACUUGGACGCUUUUAGUGCUUUUGUACUGCGUUGUACGUGGCCAGUUAUGAACUAAAAUUGUGAUAGUGAUUAUAUGCAUAGACUUGUUCGAAUAUGAA